UCCAUUUUCCAACCCGUAUAUGCAAAAUGCCGUCACACUAAUAUUGAUAACACAUGCCUACUUUAAGAAGUUGUGCUUAUAUUCUGCUUACAUCAAGAUUUUCUUACUCUACCUAAAUAUCAGCACAUAUUGGAUAUUUACAUUUGUAUGUGUAAGACUUGUUUGUUUGUUUUUGUUACAGUAACAUGACAAAACGAAUAUCUUCAGGCACAUGGAUACUAAUUAAAAACAAGAAUCUUCCACAGCAGUUGGUUGGGUCAGUGGAUUGUGGAGUAUUCAUGUUGAUGUAUGCUCUGCACCUUGUCUUGGAUGCACCAUUUGACUUCACAGCUGACAAAGGCGUUCACUAAAGGGGCACUGGAGAGUGUGAAUGAGACCCAGAGCAGUGAGGAGGAACCACUAAUAAAAAGGGACCUCCACACUGCAGUAAAAUGGUUGCGCCAACAUAGACAGUUGUUCAGAGGUGCCGUGUCUGAGCCCCAUUUUCUGGAGAUGGAGGAGGAGGACCAAAGCCGAGCUCCCAGGACAUCAUCGAUGCAGUUGAAACUGAAGAUUUAAUUUUGGCAAAAGAACCCUUUAUAUUUAUUUUUCAGUUUAGGGAUGAUAUGGAACUUUUCACUC